UUGCCGGUUGCCCAAGCUGCCGCCAACGCGGUGGGAAGAAAAAGGCCCAGUGUGACACCAGGUUACGGACAACCGAUAACUCGCUCCCAGAUGGGCGCACGGGCGUUGCCAGUAGCCACAACGGUUAGAGGAAAAGGGCCAGUGUGAUACUGCCCCAAGGAAGCGUGGCCGCUGACGGGGUGAGCUCCGGUGAUGACGUCAUCGGACUCCCAGCGAAUCACAAGUGUGUUUUCAGAGCUCAGCCAAUCGUAAGGCUUCAUCUAUGGCUUUAAAACGACUCGUUCUCUCUUCCUGUUCUCUUCCUUUUUCCAGGGUACAGUCGUCACAAAAAGUAUCGGUGCAUAAGGGGUGCGAUGACUACUGUAAACAUUCGAGCAUCCGCUGAUAUUGUGGGAGGGUUGGCACGCCUGACUGUGGCUUCUCUGCAAGAUUCGAACCACAAGCGAUUGUUUCAUAACUCAGAUCCGAAACAUUUCAACCCAAAUCCGAAACGUUUCAAAGACUGACAGGAUGUUAAUGUGGUUAUCUUCGUACCAUGGCCAUGCCAGUCAACAUGGAAACACCGCAGGCGACGCGAGGGGCUAUCGUAGCCCUCCAUGCUAGGGGUUUUACCAUAACUGGUAUUGCCCGUGAGCUUGGUAUUCACCGGAACACAGCAGCACGGUGGAUUCGGCGGCACGCAGACACUGGUGCUACAGAGGACAUGCCACGAGUCGGGCGCCCACGCUGCACCUCCGCAGCCGAAGACCAGGCCAUAAAUAACGCCAUCGAUGAGGACCCAUUCACACCUGCUGUCAACAUUCGCCGUGACCAGGGUCUGCAGUGCAGCACUCAGACCAUUCGGAACAGGCUUCACAACAGGAAUUUCCGAGGUCGGAGGCCAGCCACAAAGCAGAAACUAAGCGAGCGUAACAUGGAGCAGCGCAUGGAGUAUGCGCUCGAGUCUGCUGACAUGCCAGCAGACUUUUGGGAGAAUGUAGUCUUUUCUGAUGAAAAGACUUUCUACUCAGAUGGCACAUCAGCAGCACAAUAUGUUUGGCGGAAAUGUGGCACCAGAUACGACAUUGGAAAUGUAAUUGCUACCAGGAGGAGCGGGCGUGUCUCUGCUGGGUUAUUUGGAUGGAUGCAUGCCAGUGGCGUUGGAGAGUUGGCUGAUGUUGGACCGGGAUAUUUAACAGGUGAUAAGUAUGUUGAAAUCCUGGAGGAGGUCCUUCUUCCCACGGUAGAGGCA